UAGUGAAGGGUUGUAUUUUUCCUUUACAAUUUAGUGGCUCUAUUUUGGAAGGUUCUUUUUUAUUGCUUAUAAGUUAUAAAAGUUAGAAGAGUUGUUUUUUUAGAGAGUUUAUAAAGUAUAGAUUUCAAAAAGCUAAGAAUUAAGCAUAUUGGAGUUAGAGCAUGGUAAGAAAGUUGAUUUUUGUAGGAAGAGGUUUGUUGCCUCCAAAUUCAAGCAAUCAAAUAAUGGCACUAUUUUGGAGGAUAAAAUUAAGAAGAUUGAGGUAGCUUAAGGGCUCAAAUUUUUUAAAAAAGAUACUAUUUGGAGUUAGAAUUUUAACAAACUUAGAUUUAUUGAUGAAUAAUAAUGGAUCAA
rnacentral:lncRNA from 1 species